AGGAUGCAAGCGUUAUCCGGAUUUAUUGGGUUUAAAGGGUGCGUAGGCGGAAAAUUAAGUCAGUGGUGAAUCCUGCAGCUUAACUGUAGAAUUGUCAUUGAUACUGGUUUUCUUGAAUACAGUUGAGGUAGGCGGAAUGAGUAAUGUAGCGGUGAAAUGCUUAGAUAUUACUCAGAACACCAAUUGCGAAGGCAGCUUACUAAACUGUGAUUGACGCUGAGGCACGAAAGCGUGGGGAGCGAACAGGAUUAGAUACCCUGGUAGUCCACGCCGUAAACGAUGAUCACUCGUUGUUGGCAAUACACCGUCAGCGACUGAGCGAAAGUAUUAAGUGAUCCACCUGGGGAGUACGAUUGCAAGAUUGAAACUCAAAGGAAUUGACGGGGGCCCGCACAAGCGGAGGAACAUGUGGUUUAAUUCGAUGAUACGCGAGGAACCUUACCUGGGCUUAAAUGCAUAACGACGGAUCGGGAAACUGGUCUUUCUUCGGACGGAAUGCAAGGUGCUGCAUGGCUGUCGUCAGCUCGUGCCGUGAGGUGUCGGGUUAAGUCCCAUAACGAGCGCAACCCUCAUCAUUAGUUGCCAGCGGGUAAUGCCGGGGACUCUAAUGAAACUGCCGGUGUAAACCGAGAGGAAGGCGAGGAUGACGUCAAGUCAGCACGGCCCUUAUGUCCAGGGCUACACACGUGUUACAAUGGUCAGUACAAAGGGCAGCUACCAGGCAACUGGAUGCUAAUCUCAAAAGCUGGUCACAGUUCGGAUCGGAGUCUGCAACUCGACUUCGUGAAGUUGGAUUCGCUAGUAAUCGCGCAUCAGCCAUGGCGCGGUGAAUACGUUCCCGGGCCUUGUACACACCGCCCGUCAAGCCAUGGAAGCCGGGGUACCUGAGUUGUACCGAGAGGAUCGACCUAGG
rnacentral:rRNA from 1 species